rnacentral:lncRNA from 1 species
GUACUACAUCCAGUGCCCAAGAUUUGUAACCACGUUAAUCUGUUAGAAGCCUAGAUGUGUGACUGGAGAUGCCUCCUGUCCAUUCAAUCUGACUCCAAUGUGGUUCUGCAGCACUGGACAAAGAUGGGAGAUUGAAACAGGAGCCCCUGCGAUGGGGGAACAGAGCCAGGGAGCAGGGGUUGGACAGGUAAGCCUCCAUAUACCAAGCCCUUCAACUCCUGGAGUUACAGUUAUCCCUCCUUUGUUCAUUAAUGAUUCACCAUGUACCCACUGCCAAUGGUGGGCUUUCUAAACACUGCACUCUACAUGAGAGAUAGAAAGAUGACAAAGACAUAUUCCCUUCCCUCAAGAACCCAGGUUUGAGAAAACAACCUUGUGAACCUUCUAUUGGAGCAGCAAUAAAGAUCUGAGCUAAGUGUCGAGGGAGGCUGAGGAGGUGGUCACUAAGUCUGUCUUAGGCAUCCCAGGGUCUCCUCAGAGUCCAAGCCUGAAGUCCACUGCAGGGGUCACCAGCCACCUGUGGCCACAUUGGAAUGUGGCCAUUCUGAAUUGAGGUAAGUAAAAAACAUACACCAAAUUUCAAAG